rnacentral:rRNA from 1 species
AGUCGAGGGGCAGCAUGGUCUUAGCUUGCUAAGGCUGAUGGCGACCGGCGCACGGGUGAGUAACACGUAUCCAACCUGCCGUCUACUCUUGGCCAGCCUUCUGAAAGGAAGAUUAAUCCAGGAUGGCAUCAUGAGUUCACAUGUCCGCAUGAUUAAAGGUAUUUUCCGGUAGACGAUGGGGAUGCGUUCCAUUAGAUAGUAGGCGGGGUAACGGCCCACCUAGUCAACGAUGGAUAGGGGUUCUGAGAGGAAGGUCCCCCACAUUGGAACUGAGACACGGUCCAAACUCCUACGGGAGGCAGCAGUGAGGAAUAUUGGUCAAUGGGCGAUGGCCUGAACCAGCCAAGUAGCGUGAAGGAUGACUGCCCUAUGGGUUGUAAACUUCUUUUAUAAAGGAAUAAAGUCGGGUAUGCAUACCCGUUUGCAUGUACUUUAUGAAUAAGGAUCGGCUAACUCCGUGCCAGCGGCCGCGGUAAUACGGAGGAUCCGAGCGUUAUCCGGAUUUAUUGGGUUUAAAGGGAGCGUAGAUGGAUGUUUAAGUCAGUUGUGAAAGUUUGCGGCUCAACCGUAAAAUUGCAGUUGAUACUGGAUGUCUUGAGUGCAGUUGAGGCAGGCGGAAUUCGUGGUGUAGCGGUGAAAUGCUUAGAUAUCACGAAGAACUCCGAUUGCGAAGGCAGCCUGCUAAGCUGCAACUGACAUUGAGGCUCGAAAGUGUGGGUAUCAAACAGGAUUAGAUACCCUGGUAGUCCACACGGUAAACGAUGAAUACUCGCUGUUUGCGAUAUACGGCAAGCGGCCAAGCGAAAGCGUUAAGUAUUCCACCUGGGGAGUACGCCGGCAACGGUGAAACUCAAAGGAAUU